AGUGAACGCUGGCGGUAGGCCUAACACAUGCAAGUCGAACGGCAGCACAGUAAGAGCUUGCUCUUACGGGUGGCGAGUGGCGGACGGGUGAGGAGUACAUCGGAAUCUACUUUUUCGUGGGGGAUAACGUAGGGAAACUUACGCUAAUACCGCAUACGACCUACGGGUGAAAGCAGGGGAUCUUCGGACCUUGCGCGAUUGAAUGAGCCGAUGUCGGAUUAGCUAGUUGGCGGGGUAAAGGCCCACCAAGGCGACGAUCCGUAGCUGGUCUGAGAGGAUGAUCAGCCACACUGGAACUGAGACACGGUCCAGACUCCUACGGGAGGCAGCAGUGGGGAAUAUUGGACAAUGGGCGCAAGCCUGAUCCAGCCAUACCGCGUAGGUGAAGAAGGCCUUCGGGUUGUAAAGCCCUUUUGUUGGGAAAGAAAAGCAGCAGGUUAAUACCCCGCUGUUCUGACGGUACCCAAAGAAUAAGCACCGGCUAACUUCGUG
rnacentral:rRNA from 1 species